UGUCUGGACGUCGUGUCGUCUCGCUCGGAGAUGCGAUGCAUUAAUCUUUUUACUGCAUAAUAAACACGGAUGAACGAGAAAAAGAACGAAUGGUUACGCCGCAGGUGUCACUACCGUUCGCGCCUGGUAAUACGCCAUUCAUGUGUGCCUCGCCUAAGUGAAGAAUGAUAUUGCCUUUGCCAUCGCGAAGCGUCAUACACACGGCGAUUCGCGAAACCGUACAACUACUCGCAGACAUCCACUAAGCAAUUGCAAAUUAAUACUGCGGUCAUUCGAUACUCGGCUCUUUCGAGUCUAAACUACAAGAAGACUUCGAUCCAAGCGUUGCGAAGGCGAAUUAAGAACGAGUAGCAGAAAGACCACUAGGCUAUCCAUUCGAGGAAAUAAGGGAGAAAAAUUUGUAUCCGUUUCUUUACUGAAACACCUGACAGACGCAGCUGAUCACUCUCUAAUAUAAAAGACCCGAAAAGGGGAAGAGGAGCGUAACCGCAAACAGUUGAAUGUUCCCUUUGAGACAAUUCGUGUUCGCAUGAGGAAGCCCUACCCGCAGCUAGAAUGGAUUUGAAUGCACAAUCCUUGGCGACAGGCAAACACCUCCAAAUCUUUUUCCAAUUUUAAUUUGAAUUCCCUCAUUUUUUCCAAUGGUGAUUCAAUAUAAAUGAUUCUUAAAAAUCCUGUAAGCUGAUUUUUCCUAUAAUGCUAUCUUUACAAUCUGCCUAAUUGUACCGAUUAAUGUUCUAUAAUUCAAACUUACUUAUUCUAAUUCAAUAAAUUCGUAAAUCCUAUUAUCUGCCGAUUUCGCCUGGUUACUAAACUCCUACCUGACGUAGAUAAUGUGUAUGUAUACGUAUGUACAUUCUCUUUCGAU